rnacentral:rRNA from 1 species
UACGGGAGGCAGCAGUGGGGAAUAUUGCACAAUGGGCGCAAGCCUGAUGCAGCCAUGCCGCGUGUAUGAAGAAGGCCUUCGGGUUGUAAAGUACUUUCAGUCGUGAGGAAGGUGUUAAGGUUAAUAACCUUAGCAAUUGACGUUAGCGACAGAAGAAGCACCGGCUAACUCCGUGCCAGCAGCCGCGGUAAUACGGAGGGUGUCGAGCGUUAAUCGGAAUUACUGGGCGUAAAGGGCACGCAGGCGGUUAAUUAAGUUGGAUGUGAAAUCCCCGGGCUUAACCUGGGAAUGGCAUUCAAGACUGGUUAGCUAGAGUCUUGUAGAGGGGGUAGAAUUCCAUGUGUAGCGGUGAAAUGCGUAGAGAUGUGGAGGAAUACCGGUGGCGAAGGCGGCCCCUGGACAAGACUGACGCUCAUGUGCGAAAGCGUGGGGAGCAAAC